AGCUUUGCGCAGUGGCAGUAUCAGAGCCAAUGAGGUUUAUCCAAGGUGCGAUUAUUGCUAAUUGAAAAUUUUUCCUAAUACCCUGUCGGGAUGACUUGAAAACUAGUCAGCAUUGGCAAUUUUUGAUAGUUUCCACGGAAU